CCACCAUUAGCUAACUGUUUUCUGUUAGCCACCAUGGUGUGGACUCUGGGGGUCGACGGUGGAUGCUCUGUUCAGAAGGUCACGCAAAAAGUUUUCUGUACUGACGCUCUCCGACCGAGUUACCUGUUCCUGUUACCUUUCCUGACUUAGCCAAACUAUUGUUUUGAGCUCCUGACAGUUGGCAGUGCACAUGGUGAUCUCUGGAUCGUGUGAAGCUGCUCAUCCAUGGGGCUCCAAUCUACCAUUACUAGAGGCAAGUCUAGAGCAUCUGUGAAUGGGUUUAAACUUGC